rnacentral:rRNA from 1 species
UACGUAGGGUGCAAGCGUUAAUCGGGAUUAUUGGGUUUAAAGGGAGCGUAGGUGGCCUUAUAAGUCAGUGGUGAAAUCUCUGGGCUUAACCCAGAAAUUGCCAUUGAUACUGUAGGGCUUGAGUAUAGUUGCCGUUGGCGGAAUAUGACAUGUAGUGGUGAAAUACAUAGAGAUGUCAUAGAACACCGAUUGCGAAGGCAGCUGACGAAACUAUAACUGACACUGAGGCUCGAAAGUGUGGGGAUCAAACAGG